AGUGAACGCUGGCGGCGUGCCUAAUACAUGCAAGUCGAACGGACACACAGUAAGAUUUCGCCUCUGCCGGUGGCGACUGGCGGAUGGGUGACGCGUAGAUCGGCUUCUUCUUUUUCGUGGGUGACAACGUAGGGACGCUGCUACUAAUACAUCAUAUAACCUACGGCUUAAAGCAGUAGUUCUUCGCGCUUUUCGCGAUUCAAUUAGCCGGUGCCGGAUUAGCUAGUUGGCUUGGUAAGGGCUCACCAAGGCGACGAUGCGUAGCUGAUCUGAGAGGAUGAUCGGCCACACUGGAACUGAGACACGGUCCAGACUCCUACGGGAGGCAGCAGUGGGGAAUAUUGGGCAAUGGGCGAAAGCCUGAUGCAGCAAUGCCGCGUGGGUGAAGAAGGCCUUCGGAUCGUAAAGCCCUUUUGUUGGGAAAGAAAAAAAGCGGGAGAAAACACGGAUGUUCUGACGGUACCCAAUCAGUAAGCACCGGCUAACUUCGUG
rnacentral:rRNA from 1 species